rnacentral:rRNA from 1 species
AGAGUUUGAUCCUGGCUCAGGAUGAACGCUAGCUACAGGCUUAACACAUGCAAGUCGAGGGCAGCAUGAACAAAGCUUGCUUUGUUUGAUGGCGACCGGCGCACGGGUGCGUAACACGAUCCAAUCUGCCCGCGGCUCGGGGAUAGCCCAUCGAAAGAUGGAUUAAUACCCGAUGGCUGGUUUCUCCGCAUGGAGUUUCCACUAAAGGUUUUCCGGCCGCGGAUGAGGAUGCGUAUAUUAGGUAGUAGGCGGGGUAACGGCCCACCUAGCCUUCGAUCAUUAGGGGUUCUGAGAGAAGGUCCCCCACACUGGAACUGAGACACGGUCCAGACUCCUACGGGAGGCAGCAGUGAGAAUAUUGGUCAAUGGGCGAGAGCCUGAACCAGCCAAGUAGCGUGAAGGAAGACUGCCCUUGGGUUGUAAACUUCUUUUGUUCGGGAAUAAAGUGCAGUAUGUAUACUGUUUUGUAUGUCCGUUCGAAUAAGCAUCGGCUAAUUCCGUGCCAGCAGCCGCGGUAAUACGGAAGAUGCGGCGUUAUCCGGAUUUAUUGGGUUUAAAGGGAGCGUAGGCGGGCUGUUAAGUCAGCGGUUAAUGUCAUGGCCCAACCUUGGCAUGCCGUUGAAACUGGCGGUCUUGAAUACACACAAGGAGAUGGAAUUCGUCGUGUAGCGGUGAAAUGCUUAGAUAUGACGAAGAACUCCGAUUGCGAGGCAGUCUCCUGGGGUGCGAUUGACGCUGAGGCUCGAAAGUGCGGGUAUCGAACAGGAUAGAUACCCUGGUAGUCCGCACAGUAAACGAUGAAUGCUGGUCAUUGGCGACACGCUGUAGUGACUGAGGGAAACCAUUAAGCAUUCCACCUGGGG